rnacentral:rRNA from 1 species
CCUACGGGAGGCAGCAGUGGGGAAUAUUGGUCAAUGGGCGCUAGCCUGAACCAGCCAAGUAGCGUGAAGGAUGACUGCCCUAUGGGUUUUAAACUUCGUUUAUAUGGGAAUAUAGUGCAGUAUGUAUACUGCUUUGCAUGUACCUUAUGAGUAAGGAUCGGCUAACUACUUGCCAGCAGCCACGGGAAUACGGAGGAUCCGAGCGUUAUCCGGAUUUAUGGGGUUUAAAGGGAGCGUAGGCGGGUUGUUAAGUCAGUUGUGAAAGUUUGCGGCUGAACCGUAAAAUUGCAGUUGAUACUGGCAUCCUUGAGUACAGUAGAGGUAGGCGGAAUUCGUGGUGUAGCGGUGAAAUGCUUAGAUAUCACGAAGAACUCCGAUUGCGAAGGCAGCCUGCUGGACUGUAACUGACGCUGAUGCUCGAAAGUGUGGGUAUCAAACAGGAUUAGAUACCCGAGUAGUC